GACGAACGCUGGCGGCGUGCUUAACACAUGCAAGUCGAGCGGUAAGGCCCUUCGGGUACACGAGCGGCGAACGGGUGAGUAACACGUGGGUGACCUGCCCUCAGCUCUGGGAUAAGCCCGGGAAACGUGGGUCUAAUACCGGAUAUGACCUUCUGCCGCAUGGUGGUUGGUGGAAAGCCAGUUACUAUUGUUUCUGGCGGCGUGGGGAGUGGGCCCGCGGCCUAUCAGCUUGUUGGUGGGGUGAUGGCCUACCAAGGUUUCGG
rnacentral:rRNA from 1 species